AGUUUGACCUCAAAUCAGGUAGGACUACCCGCUGAACUUAAGCAUAUCAAUAAGCGGAGGAAAAGAAACCAACAGGGAUUGCCUUAGUAGCGGCGAGUGAAGCGGCAAGAGCUCAAAUUUGAAAUCUGGUACCUUUGGUGCCCGAGUUGUAAUUUGAAGAAAGCUAUCUUGGAUUUGGCCUUUAUCUAUGUUCCUUGGAACAGGACGUCACAGAGGGUGAGAAUCCCGUGCGAUGAGGUGUCCAUUUCUAUGUAAGAUGUUUUCGAAGAGUCGAGUUGUUUGGGAAUGCAGCUCUAAGUGGGUGGUAAAUUCCAUCUAAAGCUAAAUAUUGGCGAGAGACCGAUAGCGAACAAGUACAGUGAUGGAAAGAUGAAAAGAACUUUGAAAAGAGAGUGAAAAAGUACGUGAAAUUGUUGAAAGGGAAGGGUAUUAGAUCAGACUUGGUAUUUAGUUAUCAUUGCUCCUUGUGGGUGGUGCUCUAGCUUUUUACUGGGCCAGCAUCAGUUUUGGUGGCAGGAUAAUGACAUUUGAACGUGGCUCCUCGGAGUGUUAUAGCUUUUGUUGAUACUGUCUACUGGGACUGAGGUCUGCGGCUUUGCCUACGA
rnacentral:rRNA from 1 species